UGUAUAAGAGACAGCAGUAGCCGCGUAAUACAGAGGGUGCGAGCGUUAAUCGGAUUUACUGGGCGUAAAGCGUGCGUAGGCGGCUUCUUAAGUCGGAUGUGAAAUCCCUGAGCUUAACUUAGGAAUUGCAUUCGAUACUGGGAAGCUAGAGUAUGGGAGAGGAUGGUAGAAUUCCAGGUGUAGCGGUGAAAUGCGUAGAGAUCUGGAGGAAUACCGAUGGCGAAGGCAGCCAUCUGGCCUAAUACUGACGCUGAGGUACGAAAGCAUGGGGAGCAAACAGGAUUAGAUACCCCCGUAGUCCCUGUCUCUUAUACA
rnacentral:rRNA from 1 species